AUCCAACCAUGCGAGAUUAGGCCUGGCGAUUCAUCUCGUUGUUCGCGAGUCAGCUCAUGUUUGGCUCGAAAUGAGUUUGAGAUCGAAUCGCUCGUUUAAUAAACGAGUCAAACAUGAGCUGAAUUUUUCAGCUCGUUUAACAAACAAGCCGAACACGAGCUGGGAUAAGCUCGCUCGUGUCUGGCUCAAUAACAAUUGGAAUACGUAUAUUUUAUAUUUAUAUAUAUAUAUAUAUAUAUAAUAAUUAGUUUUUAGCUUAAUUUGAAUAUAAAGUCCAACUCAAUUAUAAAAAAGUCAUUUAUAUGUAAAAUUUCAACUAUUAGAUGAAAGCCAAAUUGGUAAGAUCUCAUAAAUUUAUUUAUUAUACAUAUCCUUCAUAAUUCUUUUAACUUGUUCGUAAGUCAGCCGGUAUUUAACUCAUGUUCGGCUCGUUAACAAGACCUGAAUUUUUCGGCUCGAUAUUUUAACGAGUUAGCUCGUGUUCGACUCGUUUAUGAAACAAGCUGAACACGAGCCAAUCUCGGUUCGCUCGUUUUCGACUCGUC
rnacentral:lncRNA from 1 species